rnacentral:rRNA from 1 species
CCUACGGGAGGCAGCAGUGAGGAAUAUUGGUCAAUGGACGGAAGUCUGAACCAGCCAUGCCGCGUGCAGGAAGACGGCUCUAUGAGUUGUAAACUUCUUUUAUAAAGGAAUAAAACGAGGCACGUGUGCCUUUUUGCAUGUACUUUAUGAAUAAGGAUCGGCUAACUCCGUGCCUGCAGCCGCGGUAAUACGGAGGAUCCGAGCGUUAUCCGGAUUUAUUGGGUUUAAAGGGAGCGUAGAUGGGUUGUUAAGUCAGUUGUGAAAGUUUGCGGCUCAACCGUAAAAUUGCAAUUGAUACUGGCAGUCGUGAGUACAGUUGAGGUAGGCGGAAUUCGUGGUGUAGCGGUGAAAUGCUUAGAUAUCACGAAGAACUCCGAUUGCGAAGGCAGCUUACUAAACUGCCACUGACAUUGAUGCUCGAAAGUGUGGGUAUCAAACAGGAUUAGAUACCCUUGUAGUC